AUCCAUUUGAAAUACAGGAAAAGGAGUAAACCAGACAGACCUCAUAGUAUACCUCUUUCACACCAGCCUAUCAACAUCCAGCCUAUCAACAUCCAGCCUAUCAACAUUUUCACACCAGCCUAUCAACAUUCUUCCCAGGGGGGUGAACUACCACUCUAGUAGGUUGUCAAGAAGAAAAGCUAUGCACAAUGGCAUGAGAGAAUCUAAAAUGGCUGCUGCUGAGCACUUGGGCACUGGAGUUAAGAGUCCAGACGAGAUGCUCAGCAGAAAUCCUGAAUGAAAAGGAUCUAUCCACAGAGGGAUUAUUAUCAGUUGGGUCAGUUGAAAACUUGAUGCCAUGUCAGCUGAAACUGCUACAGGUAUAUGACUAGCCAGCAGUUCACAAAAUGAUUCACGAAAGAACAUUCCUCUUGGGACCUUUACAAUGGAGAAUCCCUCCCCACCCUCCCUGCAAAAAACUCCCUCAGGCACAGAAUUUAUUUUGGUAAGUCAGCACAGAAUCAUCCUUGACACUGGUAGAUCAUCACAGCAUCAGUCAAGGCAGUAGGGAAUCUUAUGGACUAGACAUCCUAGCAUUAAAAAGAAAGGAGAAGAAUAAUUGUAGACCACUCACUAUGCUUGAGUGGUCCCCCUUUCUUCUCUCUAAGAAGUGUGUUUUUUUGGCAGCUGCUGAAGGAUAUGCUAAACUGCUUAUGAGGUAUGUUGUAUGUUAUGUGAAUGGAAAAAUUGCUAGGAGACGGAUAGUGGAGAAGGUGGAACUCAGCUCAUUUUAAAAGCCCAGUCAAAGUGAUGGAUCUGAAAUUAUUUUGAAGCUCAAUUGAAAAUGUGGCUCACCAAGGUGGCAUGCAUAGAAUUGGAACUAAAAUAUUACUUCUGCUGAUUAUGAGGUUAUGCCAUUUCCUUCAACCUAGGCUAACCUUGUAAGUAAAAGGAGAAUGCUAUGUUUUUAGUGUACAGGCGCUAGAUUUGUAGAAAAACAAGGAGCUUCUUAUAUUUAGAAUUUCUGCUUUCAAGUGACUGAGGAGCAAAAACAGAGCCAAGAACUGUUUAAAUAGCAGAAGCAGAGA